rnacentral:tRNA from 3 species
GCCCAGGUAGCUCAGGGGUAGAGCAACGCACUCGUAAUGCGUAGGUCGUGAGUUCGAUUCUCAUCUUGGGCUCCA